rnacentral:rRNA from 1 species
CUUCGGGAGGCAGCAGUGGGGAAUAUUGCACAAUGGGCGAAAGCCUGAUGCAGCGACGCCGCGUGAGGGAUGACGGCCUUCGGGUUGUAAACCUCUUUCAGCAGGGAAGAAGCGAAAGUGACGGUACCUGCAGAAGAAGCGCCGGCUAACUACGUGCCAGCAGCCGCGGUAAUACGUAGGGCGCAAGCGUUGUCCGGAAUUAUUGGGCGUAAAGAGCUCGUAGGCGGCUUGUCACGUCGGAUGUGAAAGCCCGGGGCUUAACCCCGGGUCUGCAUUCGAUACGGGCUAGCUAGAGUGUGGUAGGGGAGAUCGGAAUUCCUGGUGUAGCGGUGAAAUGCGCAGAUAUCAGGAGGAACACCGGUGGCGAAGGCGGAUCUCUGGGCCAUUACUGACGCUGAGGAGCGAAAGCGUGGGGAGCGAACAGGAUUAGAUACCCUGGUAGUCCACGCCGUAAACGUUGGGAACUAGGUGUUGGCGACAUUCCACGUCGUCGGUGCCGCAGCUAACGCAUUAAGUUCCCCGCCUGG